CACUUUACGGCAGAAAAUGGAAAACCGGAAGAAUACAGGGUAAUGUAAGAAUACACAAAAAAUGGAAGGAGGGACAGCUGCUGAAAUACACUAUGAACUAUCUUAUCCUGGCACUUUGGCAUGUUUGAAUGUGGAAGGCCUUGAAAUUGGGAUGAAGAAGGCCAGGGAAUGUCACAGAAAUUAAAAAAAAAAUGAAAUUA